GCCCCUAUGGCGUAGUGGUAGCGCAUCUGUCUUGUAAACAGAAGGUCGCUGGUUCAAAUCCGGCUGGGGGCA
rnacentral:tRNA from 1 species